GGAUGCAAAUCAGAUUUAGUUGAAAAGAGUUUAAUUUGAUUUAAUUUAGAUUUGAUUGGAUCAAAUCCUAUUGGAUAAUAGGCUUGAUUGGAUUCAGCCCUAUUGAAUAAAAAAUACUUCCCACAGAUGGGGUUUUAAUCUAACUAAUUUUUUAAUUGAAUUAGGAUCUAAUUGAUUUUUUAAUUAGACUAAGAUCUAAUUAG
rnacentral:lncRNA from 1 species